UUCUGUGGGGGCGGAGCGGCCGGCCGCAACUCGCGGUUCGAGCUAGCGCUUCCCCUACAUCCUGCCGCGAACCGUGCUACCAUUAGUUUGGUGGCGCCGGGGAUCGGCUCGUUUACUUUGAGAAAAAUAGAGUGUUCAAAGCAGGCCACACGCCUUGAAUAAGUUAGCAUGGAAUAAUAAUAAAGGACUUCGGUUCUAUUUUGUUGGUGUUCGGGACUGAAGUAAUGAUUGAUAGGGACAGUUGGGGCGGUCAGUAUUCCAAAGCGAGAGGUGAAAUUCUUAGACCUUCGGAAGACUAACAGCUGCGAAAGCGUUCCGCAAGGAUGUUCCCUUUGAUCAAGAACGAAAGUUGGGGGAUCGAAGACGAUCAGAUACCGUCGUAGUCUCAACUAUAAACUAUACCAGCUAGGGAUCGGCCAACGUUAAAUUAUCCGACUUGGUCGGCACCUUAUGAGAAAUCAAAGCAUCUGGGUUCCGGGGGGAGUAUGGUCGCAAGGCUGAAACUUAAAGGAAUUGACGGAAGGGCACCACCAGCCGUGGAGCCUGUGGCUUAAUUUGACUCAACACGGGAAAACUUACCAGGUCCAGACAUAGUAAGGAUUGACAGAUUGAUAGCUCUUUCUUGAUUCUGUGGGUGGUGGUGCAUGGCCGUUCUUAGUUGGUGGAGUGAUUUGUCUGGUUAAUUCCGUUAACGAACGAGACCCCAGCCUGCUAAAUAGCGCGGUUGAGCUUUGCUCGGCGCGAGCUUCUUAGAGGGACUAUGAUGCGCGAUAGCACAUGGAAGUUUGGGGCAAUAACAGGUCUGUGAUGCCCUUAGAUGUUCUGGGCCGCACACGGGCUACACUGGCGCCUGCAACGAGCAUAUCAGCUGGCCCGAGAGGGUCUUGGCUAAUCUUUUGAACCGGCGCCGUGCUUGGGAUUGACCAUUGCAAUUGUUGGUCAUGCAACGAGGAAUGCCUUGUAAACGCGAGUCAUCAACUCGCAUUGAAUACGUCCCUGCCCUUUGUACACACCGCCCGUCGCUCUACGAUGAUGUCGAUGAAAUUUUCGAA
rnacentral:rRNA from 1 species